rnacentral:rRNA from 1 species
UGCCAGCAGCCGCGGUAAUACAGAGAGUGCAAGCGUUAAUCGGAAUUACUAGGCGUAAAGCGCACGUAGGUGGAUACUCAAGUCGGGUGUGAAAGCCCCGAGCUCAACUCGGGAACUGCAUCCGAAACUAGGUGUCUAGAGUAUGAUAGAGGGAAGUGGAAUUUCCGGUGUAGCGGUGAAAUGCGUAGAUAUCGGAAGGAACAUCAGUGGCGAAGGCGGCUUCCUGGAUCAAUACUGACACUGAGGUGCGAAAGCGUGGGGAGCAAACAGGAUUAGAUA